GGGGCGUCCGCAACCACAGCGCGCAGGGCAGGCGCGAGCUGGCCUCUGAGCCCCGGCCUCGGACCGCCCACUCCACUCCCGGCACGCCCGGUGCCGCCUUCCGGCUCCAGUCCCCGGGCUCGGCCUCGGCGAGGUGUAAUUCGCAGCGCGGGCCGGCCCCGGAGGCUCUCGGCGAGCGCGGCGCGGUAACAAGUGGGCGAGGAUGCCGUACGAGAUCAAGAAGGUGUUCGCCAGCCUCCCGCAGGUGGAGAGGGGCGUCUCCAAGAUCAUCGGCGGCGACCCUAAGGGCAACAAUUUUCUGUACACCAAUGGAAAGUGCGUCAUCCUAAGGAACAUCGACGUUCACUGUGGGCCAGGAGCUGAGAUACCAGUGGCAAGCCUUGAGACCCAAGCCCCAGGACCCAGGGUCAUCACAGCCUACCUGUAAAUUGGAGUAGUGACCUCUGGCCCCUCCGUCACCCACCUGAGACUGGGAGGACAUAGGAAAAACCCAGCCCUUGCUGACAUCUACACAGAGCACGCCCAUCAGGUGGUGGUGGCCAAGUAUGCGCCCAGCGGAUUCUACAUUGCCUCCGGAGAUGUGUCUGGGAAGCUGAGGAUCUGGGAUACCACGCAGAAGGAGCACCUGUUGAAGUAUGAGUACCAGCCUUUCGCUGGGAAGAUCAAAGACAUUGCUUGGACUGAAGACAGUAAGAGGAUCGCCGUGGUCGGGGAAGGAAGGGAGAAGUUUGGAGCAGUCUUCCUCUGGGAUAGUGGCUCUUCUGUGGGCGAGAUUACAGGACACAACAAAGUCAUCAACAGCGUGGACAUCAAGCAGAGCCGGCCAUACCGGCUGGCCACGGGAAGCGAUGAUAACUGCGCGGCAUUCUUUGAGGGACCCCCAUUCAAGUUCAAGUUCACAAUUGG
rnacentral:lncRNA from 1 species